rnacentral:rRNA from 1 species
GAUGAACGCUAGCGGCAGGCCUAACACAUGCAAGUCGAGGGGUAGAGUUCUUCGGGACUUGAGACCGGGCGCACGGGUGCGUAACGCGUAUGCAAUCUACCUUAUACAGGGGAAUAGCCCCAGAGAAAUUUGGAUUAAUCGCCCCAUAGUGUUAUCGAAUCGCAUGGUUUGAUAACUAAAGUUCCAACGGUAUAAGAUGAGCAUGCGUCCAUUAGUUAGUUGGUAAGGUAACGGCUUACCAAGACAAUGAUGGGUAGGGGUCCUGAGAGGGAGACUCCCCCACACUGGUACUGAGACACGGACCAGACUCCUACGGGAGGCAGCAGUGAGGAAUAGUUGGUCAAUGGGCGCAAGCCUGAACCAGCCAUGCCGCGUGCAGGAAGAC